rnacentral:rRNA from 1 species
UACGUAGGGGGCGAGCGUUGUCCGGAUUUAUUGGGCGUAAAGAGCUCGUAGGCGGUUCGGUAAGUCGGAUGUGAAAUCUCCACGCUCAACGUGGAGGGGCCAUUCGAUACUGCCGUGACUCGAGUCCGGUAGGGGAGUGUGGAAUUCCCGGUGUAGCGGUGAAAUGCGCAGAGAUCGGGAGGAACACCCGUAGCGAAGGCGGCAGUCUGGGCCGGAACUGACGCUGAGGAGCGAAAGCGUGGGGAGCAAACAGG